GGGAUGCUGCGGCUCCGCAGCGGGCUGAGGCACCUUCGGGCAACACCCAAUACUCGGGGCUCCGCUCGGCUUCUUUGCGCCGAGAUGCCUAAGAAGGCUGGUGCGACGACCAAGGCCAGUAGCAGGGUAAAAGCCAGAGCAAGGAACCAGAGAGACCACUUCCUCCCUUAGGUCCUGUGGCAGUUGAUCCUAAAGGAUGCGUCACCAUAGCCAUCCAUGCAAAACCUGGCUCCAAACAAAAUGCUGUAACAGAUUUGACAGCAGAGGCUGUAAAUGUAGCUAUUGCAGCACCUCCAUCAGAGGGAGAGGCUAAUGCUGAGCUCUGUCGGUAUCUUUCCAAGGUCCUAGAACUCAGGAAGAGUGAUGUGGUUUUGGAUAAGGUAGGUCUCGCUCUCUUUUUUUUUUUUUUGAGACAAAAUCUUGCUCUGUCGCCCAAGCUGGAGUGCAGUGGCGUAGUCUUGGCUCACUGCAACCUCCACCUCCUGGGUUCAAGCUAUUCUCCUGCCUCAGCUUCCUGAGUAGCUGGGAUUAUAGGCGCAUGCCACCAUGCCUGGCUAAUUUUUGUAUUUUUAAUAGAGACGGAGUUUCACCAUGUUGGUCAGGCUGGUCUUGAACUCCUGACCUCAAAUGAUCCACCUGCCUUCUCCUCCCGAAGCGCUGGGAUUAGAGGUAUGAGCCACCAUGCCCGGAGGUCUCUCUCUUUUUAAACUUCUUUAAUUAUUUUCUUUUUUUUUUUGAGACGGAGUCUCGCUCUGUUGUCCAGCCUGGAGUGCAGUGGUGCAAUCUUGACGCACUGCUACCUCUCACUCCUGGAUUCAAGCGAUUCUCCUGCCUCAGCCUCCUGAGUAGUUGGGAUUACAGGCACCCACCACCAGGCCCACCUAAUUUUUGUAUUUGUAGUAGAGACAGGGUUUCACCAUGUUGGACAGGCUGGUCUUGAACGCCUGACCUCAGGUGAUUCACCCACCCCGGCCUCCCAAAGUGCUGGGAUUACAGGCGUGAGCCACUGCGCCUGGCCUUAUUUUAUUUCUUUUUUGAGAUGGAGUCUUGCUCUGUUGCCCAGGCUGGAAUGCAGUG
rnacentral:lncRNA from 1 species